rnacentral:misc_RNA from 1 species
UCAAACUUGGUCAUUUAGAGGAAGUAAAAGUCGUAACAAGGUUUCCGUAGGUGAACCUGCGGAAGGAUCAUUCAUAAUAAAAGUGUUUAUGGCACUUUUAAAACAAUCCAUAUCCACCUUGUGUGCAAUGUUUUUAAUUUUUUAACACCUUAUUUUAUAUCUUUUGUCUGAAAUAUUUUAUGAAUUUUACUUAAUUCAAAAAUAUAACUUUCAACAACGGAUCUCUUGGCUCUCGCAUCAAUGAAGAACGCAGC